rnacentral:rRNA from 1 species
CCCUUAGAUGUUCUGGGCAGCACGCGCGCUACAAUGGUCUUCGCAAACGGAUGCAUUCUCGAAGGAGAAUGCCAAUCUUGGAAUCUAUGCCUUGAUCGGGACAGUUGCUUGCAAUUUUUCGACUCGAACCAGGAAUUCCUUGUAAUCGUGAUUCAUCACAUCACGAUGAAUACGUCCCUGCCCUUUGUACACACCGCCCGUCGCUCCUACCGAUCGAAGAGUUAGGUGAAUUGUUUUGAUCGAUAAGAUUUGACUAUGGUCAACUCUCGUUGUGAAAUUCUGUGAAUCUGACUGUUUAGAGGAAGGAAAAGUCGUAACA